rnacentral:misc_RNA from 1 species
AACGCAUCUUGCACCCCCUGGUAUUCCAGGGGGUAUGCCUGUUUGAGUGUCAUUUUUCCCUCUCAAUGCAAUGGAAGUGUCCGUUCGGUGCUUCCUUGCAUUGGACGAUGAAGGCUGCUGGGUACCACCAGCUUCUUUGAAAUGCAUUAGCAGGAAAUAAGCAGAGUCGGCUUCGGUUUGAUAUGGAUCUAUGCUGCUGCCGAGGAGCUUUCUUGUUCUGCUGGCUUGUCUUGUCUUUGUCCGAGACUGUCCUAUGGACAUUUUAUGUAACUUGACCUCAAAUCAGGUAGGAUCACCCGCUGAACUUAA